UACGUAGGCAGCAAACGUUGUUCGGAAUUACUGGGCGUAAAGAGUGUGUAGGCGGCUUUGUAAGUUCUGUGUGAAAUCUCCCGGCUCAACUGGGAGGGUGCGCCGAAUACUGCAAGGCUUGAGUACUGGAGAGGAUAGCGGAAUUCCUGGUGUAGCGGUGAAAUGCGUAGAUAUCAGGAGGAACACCAAUGGCGAAGGCAGCACUCUGGGACGUGACUGACGCUGAGACGCGAAAGCGUGGGGAGCAAACAGG
rnacentral:rRNA from 1 species